rnacentral:rRNA from 1 species
AUGAACGCUAGCGAAUGCCUAACACAAUGCAAAGUCGACGGAUCUUGCGUCGUAGCAAUACGUAGUAAGAUUAGUGGCAAACGAGCGAGUAACGCGUGCUUAACUUGCCCCGAAGAUGGGUAUACUGCAGAGAUGUAGCUAAUUCCCAAUAUGCUCACGAUGGUGAAAUUCCAAUGUGAGGAAAGAUUUAUCGCUUCGGGAGAGUGGUGCGUCCAUCAGGUAGUUGGUAAGGUAACGGCUUACCAAGCCUAUGACGGGUAACCGGUCUGAGAUGAUGUCCGGUCGCGAUGGGACUGAGAUACGGCCCAUACUCCUACGGGAGGCAGCAGUGGGGAAUCUUGCACAAUGGACGAAAGUCUGAUGCAGCAAUUUCGCGUGAAGGAUGAAGCAUUACGGUGGUAAACUUCUUUUUUGGCAGAAGACGAAUGACGGUAUGUCAAGAAUAAGAG